GUUCCCUUGCAGUGUCUAUCUCUCAUGUACAUACACAAUUUACAAAUAUUUUCUAUGUGACUACCUCUUGUUGAUUUCAUGGAUUUUUGUUGUGUGCUGACAAAACACUCUUGGAGUGAGUGAUGAUACAUGCAGAACCCUUUUUACAACCCUUUAUACAACCAUAUUUUAAAAUGAGGGUAUUUAUGUAAAAUGAUGUUACUUUUUAAAGUUAUUUUACUAAAAUGCUCCUCAUUUGAAACAUAGUUGUAGAAAGGGUUGUAAAAAGGGUUGUAUGUCUAUCAUUUUCUAGGGCGUAUAUGUUAAAUUUCUCAUUUAGUAAGAGCAAAUGCUGCCAGCUUUGAAGCCUGUUCUUCUAUUUCUUUCAGAGGCGCUUGCAAUGAGAUAAGGUAACAACAAUGCCCUUUCCUCUCUUCUUUGAUUUGAAAUCUUCUUCAAUCUGAGUCUUGCUUUCUGGGUAGAAAUCUCUCCAUUUGGAUUGUUGCUUUACUUUGCUGGUAUGCUAAUUUCAGGCCUUUUUUUUUCCCUUUUUGUGGAAAAUGAAGAAAAUAUCGAUUGCUUGUGAAUCUGGUGUUUUUUUUUUUUUGGUUAUUCUCUUUUCCGAACCAUUUUCUUGAAUUGGAUGAAAUGUCAAGAAGUGAAUUAGACGUGAUUUGAACAUAUGGAUGGAAUUUUUAUUGUCAUUGAAUUGACUUCCUUGAAAAUAUUAUUGCAUUGGUGGAUUGGAGCGUAUAAGGGUUCAAUAGGCAGGAACUAGAACACUUUCAUGUUGUUGAUUAGGGAUUUCCUUGUGGGUGGGAGUGAGAUAUUUGUGCUACAUUUUUAUGUAAUAAUGUAGAAACCCACUUUAACAACUUGAGCAUUAAAGGUAAGACAGUUUCUUGGUCAGUGUAUGCUUCGACUAUGCCAGAUACUCUGUUUCCUUAAUUGUACUUGUUACUUCCUUUAUUUGUUUAAAAAUUAUUAAAAUGUGUAGUUGUUCCAUCAGGUUUUUGAACUACAUAACAGGCAAGCGAAAUAUUAAAAAGAAGAUUAGAGAUACUUCAAUAAGGAAAAUUAUUUGGCUUUUUUUUUGCAACGGAAUAUGUUCUGCACAAGAAAUUAAUAUGCUCUUGUUUAAUCAAGAAAUAGUAUGUUUCAAUUGACAGUAUUUCCAUUAUUGGAUUUUUCUUGUGAAUAUAAUUAGAGAAAUUUGUAUCAACUCUGAUUCGAAUUCUGGAAUGCUAUGUGUGUUCUGUCAAAAGAAGCUUCUUGGGAAAUUCUUCUAACUGUUAUCAAACUCUGACUUCCAUGCUAAAAACCCCAAGGGGUUGGCCCAAGUGGUGAAGGCCUUGGUCUUGGGGUAUCACUUUCUUCAAGGUCCAAGGUUCAACUCCUCAUGGGAAACUUUCGAGGGUGUGGUGCACGGGAUCGGGGUUCACUCUGCAGGGAUGGGUCCGAAGGGCCCUGCCUUGGAGAGGUCCCCGACAUUAAAAAAAGAAAAAAAAAAAGUGUAGCAAAGCUUUAUGCUGUUAGUUUGCAGAUGUUCUUAAAUAGCUGCUCAUUCAAGUUCUGUCACUUUUUUUUUUUUUUUCCAUUUCGAUUUGUUUUGGUGAUAUGCAUUUUUCACAUCGUUGUUAAUGUCCUCUUUAAAAAGGUGAUUAGUGCAUGUUCUUGUUUGACGGUAGAAGCUUUGCUUAUGAGAUAUUUUUGAUCUGCAAAGCCAUGUGGGAAUAAUACAUGUUUUAAUUGAUACUCAUUUACAUAGGAACCAAUAACAAUGACAUGUAUGUUCCAUGCUAUACGGCCUGUAUCUCAUAAAAGUUAUCUUCUGUUGGUGAGUUUCACUCUGCUGUUUUGAGCCAUGGUUUUUUGACCAUUUUAUAUUUGCAAUUUCCUGUUUUUCUCCUUUGGAAGUUAAUUUGAUUCAGAUGGUUCAACAAACAAAAGACUCUAAAUUCAGUGAAUAUGGGGUGGGAAAUACUGGAAGUGACUUGCCUAAUCAUGAUAAGCAACUGCCUGUUACUGUAAAGAAAGCAGCUUUAAGAGAUUUGCAGAAUGAUAACUCUUGUUAGCAUCAGUUAUUCAUGUAUUACACAGAAGCUGCUGAAGCAUUGCAACUAUGGAAGGAAGGUUUUGGAUGGCGCAUGCCUUGGGAUGAUGAGCUUGGGAUCUCUGUUGAACUGAACGAGCAAGUUAUGUUCAAGUGCAACUCUAUUAUUUGUAUGGAAAAUCGUCCUUAAAAUGUUUACUUUGUUUAAAAAUUAGGUUUGUUCCGUUAUUUUGAACUGUUCAGUGUGAGAUUAUGUGUUUGAAUUAA